UGGGUGCGACCUUUUGCUACUAGCUA
rnacentral:piRNA from 1 species